CCUACGGGUGGCAGCAGUGGGGAAUAUUGGUCAAUGGGCGCAAGCCUGAACCAGCAAUGCCGCGUGAAGGAAGAAGGCUUUACGGUUGUAAACUUCUUUUUCCGGGGGAGAGCAGCAGCCUGUGCCCUGAAACCCCGCCACGGCUCACUGCGUACCAGCCGCCGCGGUAAUACGGAGGGGGCACGCGUUGUCCGGAGUUACUGGGUGUAACGGGCGUGUUGCCGGGAAGGCAAGUCAGAUGUGAAAUCCGGAGGCCCAACCGCCGAUUUGCAGUUGAAACUGUUUUUCUUGAGUACGGGAGAGGCAGACGGAAUUCGUUGUGUAGCGGUGAAAUGCGUAGAUAUCAGGAGGAACACCAGUUGCGAAGGCGGCAUGCCGGACAGCAACUGACGGUGAGGCGCGAAAGCGUGGGGAGCAAACAGGAUUAGAUACCCGAGUAGUC
rnacentral:rRNA from 1 species